rnacentral:lncRNA from 1 species
AGUGUGGAGCGUGCAAAGACAUCAUUGAAUCGGUGCUGGGGGAGAAGCUGCAGUUCCAGGAGGGGAAACCAGCAGAGAAGUCAAUGUUAGUGGAGAAGCUCAAGAAAUGUGAUGUCCUAAUCCAAGAUCAGGCUCAAGAGCUGGCCCAGUUAUGGCAAACGAUAGAGAAAGACAGAGAAGUCUCUGUGCUCCUCAAGCAGCACCUCAGGAACUUUCUCACCCACGAUGACCCUACCAACUUCCAGGGUCAGGGCUUUCAAGAGCAACUGGCUGAGGGAUGCAGGCUGGUGGAGCACCUUGCCCUAAAGCUCAGCACAGAAAAUCAUGGAGAGGAGGAGAACAAAGAAUAAAAAGCAUCAAUGGACCCCAGCCAGGGCACAGAGCUACAGGAAAAAGAGAGUGUGAAUGAAGCCCUGAAGGGGUCAGUGGAUGAAGGCCCUAUGACUUCUUCCAGUCACCAGUACCCGUCUGGUUCCCACGAGCCUCCCAGCACCAAUGUUUUCUUGUCUGAGGAGCACGAAGAAUUCUCUGCUCUGGUUGCAGCUACUGAAUACUCCCAUCAACAAGAGAAGAAAGCUCGAACAGGUCUCCCAGUUUAUUUGCAGAAACUCAAAAAGAUCAGAAGGAUGAAGAAAGAGAUGAGCCAACAGCCCCCAGGGAGCUCCAGGAGGAGGAGGAAAUGA